CACAUUUUGAAUGCCCAAUAGUCAAAUAUGGAUAUAGGCUACUGUAUUAGUACAGAUCUAGAAGACUGUGGUUGUCACGCCAAUCUGAUUGCCUCAGGUCUUCAUCUAUAUUUUCUUACUGUGCAUCAAUCCUGCAGUUGUUUGGCCUGAAAAAGAUCUCCUCUUAUAGUGCGUGAAAAUGGUUACCAGAUCAUUUCAUGUGCAAUGCUACUCAGUGUUCUCUAGAAAGCAGUAGCUCUUUUGUUUUUUGUUUAGUCAUUCUUGCCUACAUUAUGUGGGUUAAAUAAACAAUGCUUUACAGUGUAUAUUGGAUGUACUAUAAAAAAACUUAUUUCCAAGAUUGAAUCCAUUUAUAAUAUGGGAUAUACAUGCCUAACAUCAGAGAGUAAUAGCUGAAUAGUUAUCUGUGAGUAGAAGCAGUGUCAGGUGAGAAUGGAGGGACUAGGCAAAGAAAUAUGGCCCAGGGAGGCAUGAAACCAGAGCAACAGAGAGAACAUAUAAAAUGACAUACAAGAGAAAAAUGAGCAUCAAGAGAUUUUAUAUACACACACAUACACACACAUAUAUACACACAUAUACACAAUGCAUCAGUAUGCUUAAAAUCAUUGGUUCAAAGAAAAACUCUGGGUCUAGUGUUUUGGGACAUUUUAUUAAAUAAAUACAUUUCAUUGUAAACCUAGUGACUUAUAUAGAAAUUAGCUAUUAUGAUAAAGAGCAAAGUCAAACCAUGUAUUUUGACCUCUCAGAAGUUCUGUUUGAUGCAUUAUAAUGUUAGUUCCCAGUUAUGAAGAUUCACCCAUAAAAAAUAUUGCCUAUUUAUAAAUAGAAUAGCCUGACUGACCAAAAUUUUGAGAGGAAGAGGAAUCUAAAGGCUAAAUGUAGUCAUGCUAAAUUGUAAUUGAUGAGGAUCUUCUAACUGAAUAUCAAACUAACUACAUUGUCCAAGAAUAGUGAUACCAAAUUACAAGGGGUGUAGAGAUAAAAAGGCAAAAGACAAAGCUGAGAAAAAAAAGUACAUAAAAUCCUGAGUGGAAAGGAAGAAUAAGAAAUUCCAUCAAACAGCCAGAGAAACUUUCGCAGUAAAAUAUAAAAAAUAAAUCAAGGAAAAACUACAGGUAUUUCCGUUUGGAUGCUUUUGAUUAUAUGUAAUGGAAAAUUCAACUUAAAUUGUUUUAGACAAUGAAAAAAAUAUAUUGGCAAGACAUUGUUGGCAAAGUCUAAGACUUCAGGCAAUUCUAUCAGAUAUCUAGCUCAGUUAUUCUUUCAACCUUCUUCUCUUCCACGUGUUAAAAUUAUUUUCAGGCUCUCCUUCCUCAUAGUAGCAAAAUGGAUGCAGUGGUUAUAGGAUUUACAUCAGUACACUACAAUUUUAUACAAAAGGCCUGUGGUUGUUUCUGAACCAAUCUGAACCAGUGUGGUGGUCAGGAGACUACCAUAUAUUUGUUCCUUUAAAUCAGGAUUAUUGACUAUCCAUAGUUUAAUUGGUAAUGCAGAGUAGGUGAGGUUGUGCUAAUUGGAUUGUUCUUCUCAGGGCUAACCCUUCUAAGAAGGGUAAAUCUCACCCAAACUGCAUGACUGCCACACAAUGAGGGAAGGGCGAUAAUGGGUGCUGUGGAAAUAAACAAAUAUCCACUUUAGUGCAACAUAGGAAAUAAGAUCCCUGAAUGAUAUAUCUGAGAAUCUAGCCAAAGAAGUUUCAGUUAAUCACAAUCUGAUCUAACUAAAGAGGAAACCUAGCUUUUUUUGUUUUAUCAACACAAUUAGCAGAUGUCUAGGCCCUUUGCAAAUAAAUGGGCCAUAUUACAUUUGGGCAUAAUUAUUGUGAAGACUUUGGAAAAUUAUUCUAAAUUAAAUAAAUAUUUAAUCAUUAAAGAUAAUCCUUUAAAAUAUACUUAAUUAAACAGAAUGUGCUAAUAUCUACAACAUAAUUUUAAUAAACAUGUCACUAGAUGAAUGCCAUUUGUUUAUUGAGUCUUACCAGCGAAAACCAUCUGCUCUGUUGUAUUUCUUCCCAAAUAACUUGUUUUCUAUUAUGUAGACAUAUAUAAUGGAGAGUUAAUAAUUAUCUGAUCAAUUCGAGAUAUUCAGGAAGACAACUUGUGUAAUUUGAGAGCCUUAUCAAACUCCACAAUGUUCACCUGUAAUGGUUUUCAUUAAAAGCAAAGUCUGGAUACUGGCUCAAUCAAGUGAAUUAUUUUGUGGGAUUUUCUUUCGUUCAUCUGUGUGUGUGUGUGUGUGUGUGUGUGUGUGUAGUAUUGGUCUAAGACAGUGGUGUGUAAACAGAAUAUAAUGCAAGAAAUAUAUGUAAUUUUAUAUGUAUUAGUUAGGUUUAAAAAUACAAACAAUUAUUUUAUUAAUAUAUAAUAACCAAAUAUAUCCAAGACAUUAUUUCAACAUUGCUCAAAUAUUUAGAUAUUUUGUCUUUUCUCUCCCUAAGUUUCCAAAAUGAAUGUGUCUUCCACUUUUAGCACAUAACAAUUCAGAUCAGUUUCAGUUCAUAUGUUCAGUGGCCCCAUGUGAAUAUUGGUUAUCACAUUGGACAGCAUAGGGAUAGAUUUACUCAUAUUUGUUCUCUAUGCAGUCUAAAGGCUGUUGAUAUUAACUGAGUACAGUGUAUCUUGUACUCUAUAUGAUUUUCCUCAGUAUACUAUAAAUUUUUGCUGCUACUUAAAGAUACUCUUCUCUUAUUUUUGUCCUUGAUACAUACUUUUAUAUAGUUUAUUACUUUUGUGUGCUAAGUCUUUGAUGAUCCUUUUUGUAAAAUCCUAAUUUUGCCACCUUGUUCUUAUUAUCCUCUUAUUUAUUUAAAAUCUAUUGGGAUGAAUGCCAAUGGCUGCCUUAAUUCUACUUUCUUUAAUAUCUUCUCCCUUUCUAGAUUAAUUUCGUCUGUAUCAUUUUCACCUGGAUUCUUUAAAUCUUUUGCAUUAGCUCAAAACCAGUUUUCCUGAGGAAUUUAUGGUGUUCUCUCCUUUAGUGCAUACACAUUCACUUAAGCACUUAAAAUCUAAUGGUUUUUCAAAAAUUCCACAUCCCCAGCUUCAUAUAUUUGAACUUUAUUCAGAUUAUCUAAGAAACAUUUUUGUGCAUUGAUAGUACAAUAACCAAAGUACCUAAUAUAAUUUCAUCUUCUUACAAGUUCAAGGUGCAAGUAUUUCAAAAAGUCUCUUUAUUGGGAUAAAAUUGGUUUAUGAUUAAUAUCACUAAGCUAUUAGGACAUUUCAAAAACUGUACUGACAUUAAAAUGAGGUUAUGAAACACAUUUCAUAGGGUUGUAUUUAGAACACAACAGAUGGAAAAAGACAUAGUGUAUGCUGUGACCUAAUAACUUCCCAACAUCUAUUUGCCUCCUUCUCUUUUUGUCCCAUCCUGCUGUUAUUAUUUAAGUGGCCUACACUCGAUAGCAGAAUGUAGUAGUUAAAAUUGUGACCUCAAGUCAGACAGUCUUGGGUUAUUAACUCUGCCACUCAUUAGGUGUGUGACCUCAAGCAAGUUUCUUUACUUAUUAUGAGGAUUUUUUGUAUGUAAGUUAGGAAUGAUAAAUUUAACUCUUCUCACUUGUAAUUGAGAGUAUUAAGUGAAAUAUUUUAUGCUUGUAGCUACUUAGCACUCAGUAAAGUUCUUUAUUAUUGCUUUUAUUAUUAUUAAUAAUCAUGGUACUUCACGGUAAAUUCUCUACAUUGGAAUAUAUCUGCUUAUAUCUGCCAUUACUAGUGCAAAUUGAAAAGCAUUUUUACAUGUAAAAAGUAUUUAAAACUGUGUGCUAAGUAAAACACAUACUUUUAAUCACUCUAUUUUAGUACAAAAGCCAUUUUAAAUUUUAACGAACCAAGAAGUU
rnacentral:lncRNA from 1 species